AAUGACAUAUGUAUCGUUGGCUGUUUUUGCUUCGUUUCAGUUUACUUUGGGGUUGAAGAAGGAUGACGUGCACCUGCAUCAACAACCUCCACCCGAAGACCACGACGAGUUGGCCACCUGAAAGUCAAUUUGAAGACAAAGCGGCCCAGUCAUUGUUGAACAAGUUAAUCAGAAGUAAUCUUGUCAACACCACAAAUCAAGUUGAAGUUCUUCAGAAGGAUCCCAACUCUCCACUGUACUCUGUAAAAUCCUUUAAGGAGUUGUGACUUAAACCACAGCUCCUUCAGGGUGUCUAUGGCAUGGGUUUUAACCGGCCCUCCAAAAUCCAGGAGACCGCCUUACCCAUGAUGCUCGCUGAACCUCCACAGAAUCUAAUCGCCCAGUCUCAGUCAGGAACAGGAAAAAACGCUGCCUUUGUGCUUGCCAUGCUCAGCCACGUCAAUCCAGACCACAAAUAUCCCCAG